AAUUUUAUAGUCUAAGAAGGAUUCUGAAUUGCAAAUUCAGGGGUAAAAUUAAUUUUUAAAGUUU
rnacentral:tRNA from 1 species